rnacentral:rRNA from 1 species
UACGUAGGGCGCAAGCGUUAUCCGGAAUUAUUGGGCGUAAAGAGCUCGUAGGCGGUUUGUUGCGUCGGCUGUGAAAUCCCGAGGCUCAACCUCGGGUCUGCAGUCGAUACGAGCAAACUAGAGUGUUGCAGGGGAGACUGGAAUUCCUGGUGUAGCGGUGAAAUGCGCAGAUAUCAGGAGGAACACCAGUGGCGAAGGCGGCUCCUGGACACUAACUGACGCUGGAGACGCGAAAGCGUGGGAGCAAACAGG